rnacentral:rRNA from 1 species
GUGGGGAAUAUUGGACAAUGGGCGCAAGCCUGAUCCAGUCAUGCCGCGUGUGUGAAGAAGGCCUUUUGGUUGUAAAGCACUUUAAGCGAGGAGGAGGCUACUUGGAUUAAUACUCUAGGAUAGUGGACGUUACUCGCAGAAUAAGCACCGGCUAACUCUGUGCCAGCAGCCGCGGUAAUACAGAGGGUGCGAGCGUUAAUCGGAUUUACUGGGCGUAAAGCGUGCGUAGGCGGCUUUUUAAGUCGGAUGUGAAAUCCCUGAGCUUAACUUAGGAAUUGCAUUCGAUACUGGGAAGCUAGAGUAUGGGAGAGGAUGGUAGAAUUCCAGGUGUAGCGGUGAAAUGCGUAGAGAUCUGGAGGAAUACCGAUGGCGAAGGCAGCCAUCUGGCCUAAUACUGACGCUGAGGUACGAAAGCAUGGGGAGCAAACAGGAUUAGAUACCCCUGUAGUCC